AAAGCGUGCGCAGGCGGUUAUAUAAGACAGAUGUGAAAUCCCCGGGCUCAACCUGGGAACUGCAUUUGUGACUGUAUAGCUGGAGUGCGGCAGAGGGGGAUGGAAUUCCGCGUGUAGCAGUGAAAUGCGUAGAGAUGUGGAGGAACACCGAUGGCGAAGGCAGCCCCCUGGGUCAAGAUUGACGCUCAUGCACGAAAGCGUGGGGAGCAAACAGGAUUAGAUACCCUUGU
rnacentral:rRNA from 1 species